rnacentral:other from 2 species
GGUCUGCUGCCGAAUAUGUUAGGUCUUUGAAUCCCGGGGCCAACGAUAUUUUCAAGGGAACUGUUCCUGGCCGGCCUGUGGGCCGGGCACACGGUGCCCACCUGCACAAAUCGCAGGCCUGGAGGAUUAAUCCGGCCGACGGUUCGGCGGCACCGU